GGAAAAUUAUAUGCAGUGGCAUGCAUCAACAAAUAGAUAAAAGGACAAGGAGCAUCAGUUUUUUAUUAUUCGUGAAAUUAGUUUUCAGUGGCAAAGUUAUAAAAUGCUCUUCAAAGUGCACAUUAUGCUCUUCCUAUUAGGGUCUGUAUUGCAUACUCUUGCUGUUCCUCAAGGGCUGAAUUUUAAAGCAGAUCAAUGGGUCAUUCCUGUACUAGCUUGGGGCAAAGGAAGUACUGACCUUAAGGUCAAAGGGGCUCCUAUUACUAUUGUUAGACCAACACCAUCUGAACCACAGGGCUGAGCGGCUUGUUUGAACAUAUCUUUUAAAAUAUAAAACCUAAUAUUUAAGGAUUUUAAUUUAGUUUAUAGAGUUGUAUCAAAUUCAAAAAUAGAAAUGAGUUUUUUAAGUUA